GGACCUCAGGCUGCAGUCACCCUGGUAGGUGAUGCUGUGUGAGCCUUGUCGGCAGCGAACCUGGCGGCCUGUGUACAAUGACAGUCUGAGCCUACCUCAUGCUGUUCUGCUCCAGUUUCCACGGUAGGAACAGACACCAAAACGUUCUGCCAAGUCCUCCCAGUCACUUAGCCUCACCUGAAGAAUGAGGGAUGUGGUGGCCUGAUGUCUAACUUCUGUGAUCCGGCCAGGUGCAGGCUAACUCAGCGGCACGGACCACGUGCCUGGAGUACAGCGGACGUGCCAUGUGGGACCACGCGCACGUGCACGCACACGCAGCAGGUCUGCAUAACAAAAUACCAGUCUAGAGCAGAGAUGCUCUGAAUUCUGGUGAGAGACCUGCCAUUAACUGUGGCUUCAGCUCUGCAAGGCACAGCCUCUCUGUGGCUGGCGUGAGAAAUUCACACCGGGGUCCUCCCCAUGUCACCUGGCUUUAGAGGAUGACCCUUUAGUCGCAAAGACAUGUUUUUCAGACUUCACUGGACUGUUCUCCUGCCACGCUAGGAAACCCUUCUCCUCCCAACAAAGUCGUAUGGAGGUGGGUGUCAAUCACUGAGACAUCUGUAAUCAUAUACUGAACACUGGACGUGCACAGGGAACAAAGGUUAAGGAAAUUAUGGCCACAAAAUGGAAUGUUGUAUAGCCAUUAAAACUUCCAAGAGGUUAAAACAAUGUCAUUUCAACUACCAUUCACUAAUUAAUCCAGUUAACCAAUAUUUGUGGAGAGUCUGUCAUUUGUCGUAUGCUGUGGUCAGUCCUGGGGCACGAGGACCAACAACACGGACGUGGCCCAUCCCCUGUGGAGCGCACCGGACCUUACUAUAUGCUGCGUCAUGGGCUAAAAGCAUCACGUACUUGAUUUUGCCGAAUUUUCUCAACAACUGAUGAGGUCACUUUACCAAUCAGCAGCUCCAAGAGCCACAGUCAGGCCCUUCCUCAACCAGUCUCUUCCAGAGUCCCCUUGGUUGGAAGAGCACAAGGCCGGCCUCUCACCUUGAACCCUGGAGCCAUUCUCAGUUCCUGUCCUGCCUCCUGGGGUACGCUGCACCCACUGCCCACACCUUCCCUCCCCAAGCCAUGUUCCAGGCGUUCUCCCCUCGUGGUGUAGACCGUCCACGCUUGCCACAGAGCCUGGUCCACAGCAGGUUCUCAACAACUGUUGGAUGAAUGAAUAA